rnacentral:lncRNA from 1 species
AACACUUCAGGAUAGGUCACACGUAGGGCCUGCAUGUACUAUGAACCCACACUUUCAUUUUUAUAUUCUGGAGUGCGCUAUUUUCAGAACAGUCAGACAAAGGGGUAUUUUUCCUUUUGAAAAAUCUCCUUUUCUCUCCCCUAGAGGAAAAUACAUGAGAAUCAAAUGUAAGAGACUACAGUGGCUUUAGCAAGAGAAGCCAAUAUUUAAGGAUCAGGGACAGGAAACAGGAAACUCCUUCUUGGCCUCCCCACCCCAUGGAUUAAAUGGUAGCAGGGGCUGCCUGGUGCCUUGCCCAUGAAGCUUGACUAUUCAUGCUUAGAAGGAGGAGCAUCAUGAACAUUAAGAAACCAG